GGCAGCCUAUACAUGCAAGUCGAACGGUUGAUAGCAAUACCAAUAGUGGCGCACGGGUGCGUAACGCGUAACCAACCUACCCGAAUCUGGGGGAUAGCCCGCCGAAAGGCGGAUUAAUACCGCAUAAAACUGCAGCCUGGCAUCAGGUAACAGUUAAAGAUUUAUUGGAUUCGGAUGGGGUUGCGUGCCAUUAGCUAGUUGGCGGGGUAACGGCCCACCAAGGCGACGAUGGCUAGGGGAGCUGAGAGGCUGGUCCCCCACACGGGCACUGAGAUACGGGCCCGACUCCUACGGGAGGCAGCAGUAGGGAAUAUUGGGCAAUGGUCGAGAGACUGACCCAGCCAUGCCGCGUGCAGGAUGAAGGCUUUCUGAGUCGUAAACUGCUUUUACCAGGGAAGAAAAAAGGGGAUGCGUCCUCUACUGACGGUACCUGGUGAAUAAGCACCGGCUAACUCCGUGCCAGCAGCCGCGGUAAUACGGAGGGUGCAAGCGUUGUCCGGAUUUAUUGGGUUUAAAGGGUGCGUAGGCGGCUUUUUAAGUCUGGGGUGAAAGCCCGUUGCUCAACAACGGAACUGCCCUGGAAACUGGAGAGCUUGAGUACAGACGAGGGUGGCGGAAUGGAUACUGUAGCGGUGAAAUGCAUAGAUAGUAUCCAGAACCCCGAUUGCGAAGGCAGCUGCCUAGACUGUAACUGACGCUGAGGCACGAAAGCGUGGGGAG
rnacentral:rRNA from 1 species